UACGGAGGGGACUAGCGUUGUUCGGAAUUACUGGGCGUAAAGCGCACGUAGGCGGAUUUGUAAGUCAGGGGUGAAAUCCCGGGGCUCAACCUCGGAACUGCCUUUGAUACUGCAAAUCUCGAGUCCGGAAGAGGUGAGUGGAAUUCCUAGUGUAGAGGUGAAAUUCGUAGAUAUUAGGAAGAACACCAGUGGCGAAGGCGGCAUCACUGGUCCGGUACUGACGCGUGAGGUGCGAAAGCGUGGGGAGCAAACAGG
rnacentral:rRNA from 1 species